rnacentral:rRNA from 1 species
CAAUGAGAGCGGCGCACGGGUGAGUAACACGUGGGAACAUGCCCUUUGGUUCGGAAUAACUCAGGGAAACUUGAGCUAAUACCGGAUAAGCCCUUACGGGGAAAGAUUUAUCGCCAAUGGAGUGGCCCGCGUCCGAUUAGCUAGUUGGUGAGGUAAAGGCUCACCAAGGCGACGAUCGGUAGCUGGUCUGAGAGGACGACCAGCCACACUGGGACUGAGACACGGCCCAG